rnacentral:rRNA from 1 species
UACGUAGGGUGCAAGCGUUUGUCCGGAAUUAUUGGGCGUAAAGAGCUCGUAGGCGGUUCGUCGCGUCGGCUGUGAAAUCCCGAGGCUCAACCUCGGGUCUGCAGUCGAUACGGGCGGACUGGAGUUCGGCAGGGGAGACUGGAAUUCCUGGUGUAGCGGUGAAAUGACGCAGAUAUCAGGAGGAACACCGGUGGCGAAGGCGGGUCUCUGGGCCGAUACUGACGCUGAGGAGCGAAAGCGUGGGGAGCGAACAGG